CCUACGGGGUGCAGCAGUGGGGAAUAUUGCACAAUGGGGGAAACUCUGAUGCAGCGACGCCGCGUGAGUGAAGAAGUAAUUCGUUAUGUAAAGCUCUAUCAGCAGGGAAGAAAAUGACGGUACCUGAGUAAGACGCCCCGGCUAAUUACGUGCCAGCAGCCGCGGCAAUACGUAGGGGGCAAGCGUUAUCCGGAUUUACUGGGUGUAAAGGGGGUGUAGACGGCAGUGCAAGUCUGGAGUGAAAGGCGGGGGCUCAACCCCCGGACUGCUCUGGAAACUGUACGGCUGGAGUGCAGGAGAGGUAGGUGGAAUUCAUAGUGUAGCGGUGAAAUGCGUAGAUAUUAGGAGGAACACCAGUGGCGAAGGCGGCUUACUGAACUGUAACUGACGUUGAGGCUCGAAAGCGUGGGGAGCAAACAGGAUUAGAUACCCUAGUAGUC
rnacentral:rRNA from 1 species